rnacentral:lncRNA from 10 species
AUGACACCGAUGAUUUAGAUGAGCUUGACACUGACCAGUUGCUGGAGGCGGAGUUGGAGGAGGACGACAAUAAUGAGAACGCAGGGGAAGAUGGGGACAAUGACUUCUCUCCCUCUGAUGAGGAGCUAGCAAACCUUCUAGAGGAGGGAGAGGACGGGGAGGAUGAAGACUCUGAUGCAGAUGAGGAGGUGGAACUGAUCCUGGGGGACACUGACAGCUCUGACAACUCUGAUUUGGAAGAUGACAUCAUCUUAUCUCUGAAUGAGUGAGGAGCCAUCACUGCUUGGAAGAGAUUCUUGGCAGAGAGAAGAGGGGACAAAUUUGGUUGUGAAGUAAACAAGAAACACAAGACGGCUAAAACUCUCCAGGGGCAGCUGGGAGGUAGAUGAUUCUUCCGGGUCCUGAGCACCUGCUUCAUGAAGGAAGAUAGGUAGCCCAGAGAAGAAGUUUUGGACUUAACAACAUACCAAGGCAGCUCUGGCCUGUGACUCAGGCGUUUGUUGGAGAGCUGCAGGAAAACCACUGCAGUGUGCCUGCAACAGGACAAGACCCACUCCUGUUUCUGGCGGUACCAGCUACCCUGGAAUGGUGGCGUGUCCUGCUGUACCCAACUGACUUGCUUAGGUACCUGGCAGCUGUGACCACAGCUCAAGU